CGAACUCUGGUAUUGAUUGGUGCUUGCAUCAUGAUUUACAUUUGAGUGAGUGGCGAACUGGUGAGUAACACGUGGGAAACCUGCCCAGAAGCGGGGGAUAACACCUGGAAACAGAUGCUAAUACCGCAUAACAACUUGGACCGCAUGGUCCGAGUUUGAAAGAUGGCUUCGGCUAUCACUUUUGGAUGGUCCCGCGGCGUAUUAGCUAGAUGGUGGGGUAACGGCUCACCAUGGCAAUGAUACGUAGCCGACCUGAGAGGGUAAUCGGCCACAUUGGGACUGAGACACGGCCCAAACUCCUACGGGAGGCAGCAGUAGGGAAUCUUCCACAAUGGACGAAAGUCUGAUGGAGCAACGCCGCGUGAGUGAAGAAGGGUUUCGGCUCGUAAAACUCUGUUGUUAAAGAAGAACAUAUCUGAGAGUAACUGUUCAGGUAUUGACGGUAUUUAACCAGAAAGCCACGGCUAACUACGUGCCAGCAGCCGCGGUAAUACGUAGGUGGCAAGCGUUGUCCGGAUUUAUUGGGCGUAAAGCGAGCGCAGGCGGUUUUUUAAGUCUGAUGUGAAAGCCUUCGGCUCAACCGAAGAAGUGCAUCGGAAACUGGGAAACUUGAGUGCAGAAGAGGACAGUGGAACUCCAUGUGUAGCGGUGAAAUGCGUAGAUAUAUGGAAGAACACCAGUGGCGAAGGCGGCUGUCUGGUCUGUAACUGACGCUGAGGCUCGAAAGUAUGGGUAGCAAACAGGAUUAGAUACCCUGGUAGUCCAUACCGUAAACGAUGAAUGCUAAGUGUUGGAGGGUUUCCGCCCUUCAGUGCUGCAGCUAACGCAUUAAGCAUUCCGCCUGGGGAGUACGGCCGCAAGGCUGAAACUCAAAGGAAUUGACGGGGGCCCGCACAAGCGGUGGAGCAUGUGGUUUAAUUCGAAGCUACGCGAAGAACCUUACCAGGUCUUGACAUACUAUGCAAAUCUAAGAGAUUAGACGUUCCCUUCGGGGACAUGGAUACAGGUGGUGCAUGGUUGUCGUCAGCUCGUGUCGUGAGAUGUUGGGUUAAGUCCCGCAACGAGCGCAACCCUUAUUAUCAGUUGCCAGCAUUAAGUUGGGCACUCUGGUGAGACUGCCGGUGACAAACCGGAGGAAGGUGGGGAUGACGUCAAAUCAUCAUGCCCCUUAUGACCUGGGCUACACACGUGCUACAAUGGAUGGUACAACGAGUUGCGAACUCGCGAGAGUAAGCUAAUCUCUUAAAGCCAUUCUCAGUUCGGAUUGUAGGCUGCAACUCGCCUACAUGAAGUCGGAAUCGCUAGUAAUCGCGGAUCAGCAUGCCGCGGUGAAUACGUUCCCGGGCCUUGUACACACCGCCCGUCACACCAUGAGAGU
rnacentral:rRNA from 1 species